rnacentral:rRNA from 1 species
AGAGUUGAUCCUGGCUCAGGAUGAACGCUGGCGGCGUGCCUAACACAUGCAAGUCGAACGAGGUUACUGAGAUUGGAGAUUCGUCAAAGAUCUUUUUAACCGAGUGGCGGAUGGGUGAGUAACGCGUGGAGAACCUGCCCUUAUCAGGGGGAUAACAACUGGAAACGGUUGACAAUACCGCAUACGCUCUUGUGAUCGCAUGAUCGUGAGAGGAAAGAUUUAUCGGAUAAGGAUGGCUCCGCGUCGGAUUAGCCAGUUGGCGGGGUAACGGCCCACCAAAGCGACGAUCCGUAGCCGGCCUGAGAGGGCGACCGGCCACAUUGGGACUGAGACACGGCCCAGACUCCUACGGGAGGCAGCAGUGGGGGAUAUUGCACAAUGGGGGGAACCCUGAAUGCAGCGACGCCGCGUGGAGGAAGAAGUAUUUCGGUAUGUAAACUCCUAUCAGCAGGGAAGAAAAUGACGGUACCUGACUAAGAAGCCCCGGCUAACUACGUGCCAGCCGCCGC